AGCGAACGCUGGCGGCAGGCCUAACACAUGCAAGUCGAACGGAUCCUUCGGGAUUAGUGGCGGACGGGUGAGGAACACGUGGGAACGUGCCCGUUGGUUCGGAACAACUCAGGGAAACUUGAGCUAAUACCGGAUGUGCUCUUCGGGGGAAAGAUUUAUCGCCAUUGGAGCGGCCCGCGUCUGAUUAGCUAGUUGGUGAGGUAACGGCCCGCCAAGGGGACGAUGAGUAGCUGGUCUGAGAGGAUGAUCAUCCACACUGGGGAUGAGACACGGACCAGACUCGUACGGAGGGGAGCAGUGGGGAAUAUUGCGCAAGGGGCGAAAGCCUGACGCAGCCAUGCCGCGUGAAUGAUGAAGGUCUUAGGAUUGUAAAAUUCUUUCAGCGGGGACGAUAAUGACGGUACCCGCAGAAGAAGCUCCGGCUAACUUCGUG
rnacentral:rRNA from 1 species